rnacentral:rRNA from 1 species
UACGAAGGGGGCUAGCGUUGUUCGGAAUUACUGGGCGUAAAGGGCGCGUAGGCGGUACUUCAAGUCAGGCGUGAAAGCCCCGGGCUCAACCUGGGAACCGCGCUUGAGACUGGAGAACUAGAGUUCGGGAGAGGAUGGUGGAAUUCCCAGUGUAGAGGUGAAAUUCGUAGAUAUUGGGAAGAACACCGAUGGCGAAGGCA